AGGCUUUGACUGGAAUGUCACACUUGGGAGACAGGCAUUGACUAAGAUAUGACUGGACAGUUUUAAGGCAGUAAGGGUGACUCUAAGGAGCCAGUAAGGGCCUUUGGAAAAAGAGCCUGAGAGCUUGCUUACAGGGCUCCCAGCAGCCUUACCAGCCCUGCAAAUUGAGUAUGAACAACUUGAUGUGAACUUCAGAAAAGUCACAACAGCUCACACAUGAACAAUCUUCAUGCCUGGUGCUCUACAAGCCACUCAAGAUGAUCUCCAGAAACACUCAACUACAAACCAAGAAACUCUGUCAGGUUGCCACUGCCUGCCCUCACUUUAUGUAAAGAUGCUUUAAACCUUAACAACUAGAAAUCUUUGACUGGCUACAUUCAGAACUCAGAAGCUGGUUCAUAAUUUGAUCUAAUCAUUAAUUGUUUUUCUUUUGUUUCCCUAAAGAUGCCUUAUUUAUAAUCUGAUAAUUUGAACCCUGGCCAAACUUAGAACACACUGCGUCACCACCUCCUGAGUUUAACUAAAAUGACCUAUCGUCGGAACUAAGACACUGGUUCAAGGACAUGGGACAAUCUACCAGCUCAACUUUUAAUGUAAGAAACUUCCAGGGAAGUUUCGGAAAGGGAAACUGUAGGGGCCAAGGGUAGGCCAACCCAAAAGGUGCCACUCUGGCAUUUAGAUUAUUCUAAAUAAAAGUUAUUUAAGAAACA